GAUUAUCGCACACUCGGACCAGAAAUGUAAAUACGGCAAUAAAAGAUCACAAUUUAAAGAUAGAAACUUGAAAAUAACAUUGUAAACAGUGUUUUGAAUACUCAAUCGAACAAGAUUAUUAUAAUGAGCAUACGUCUCAAUGGGAGUUUAAUAUGUUCGGCGAAAGGUAUGUCUAUGUUUAUACACAAAGUCGCUUCGCUUUCAAAGCUCAUAAAUCGCUGUAAUGUUGCCAUUGACUAAAAACUAUCGCUAGGAAUGAGGAGAUAUUGUUACACUGAAUCGAACAGUGGUAUUUUUGUCCCCAUAGAUAU